ensembl:lncRNA
GGGAGUGGGAGGUGAAGAAAGAGAGAAGAGCUGAGCUUCAUAGAGUAGAAGAACCUGCCAGAACUGAGCUCCUUAAAUGGGAGUUUUGUUAAGAAAUGUCAUGACCUUGUUUUAAGGGUGAGGUGAAAGGAUUGGUUUUCAUUGUCUGUUCCUCAUUUUGAUACUAUUCUUGAUAAAAUAGUAUGGAAUUAAGGGGUGGCAAUGCAUGUAUACAAUAUGGAGCUUGAAAUUUUAGCAGUAGUGUCAGUUUUCAGGCUAGUUUUAUAUGACUAUAAUGUCAGUAAUCUUCUAACUCUUAUUGGUCAUUGGACUCAAUCUGAUUUUCUCUGGGAACAAGCCUGUUGUAUUGAAGUAUGCAUACAUGGGUAAAAAGAUGGGAGAACGUGAAAUAUACUUGCUUUUAUAUUUAAAAGAAUGCUUUUUUCUUUGGUCUGUGCUUAAAAAAGCCAGAUCUAACCUAAAGAAUAAGCCUCUAGUAAGUAAAUUUAGUUGAGAUUUUUAAAAGCACUUCAUGAUUUAAGGUACAUGGCCCCCUGAAAGCCUAAGAAGUUUGUGCUUCUGGGCUGCUAAAGCAUAUUUGAUACGCCUGUUUAUAUUGGAUUCUUUAUAUUGGAUUCACUGGUAGCAUAGCCUGAGUUGAAGCAAAGCUUUGGUGUAUCAUUCCUCCAGGACUGAAAUGUCAGCUCCCGACAUAGUCUCGAAUAUUUUCUUUCUGGAAUGUGCUUUUUCAGAAUAUUGCUCAGUGGUAGCAAAGGGCACUUCCCAGUGGCAGCUUCUGCUGGUUGAGAAAUUCGUAACCUGGAAAUGCUCGUAAGUCUUGCCCGCUUUGCUCGAAGAUAGUAAACAUUCAAGCAAAAUUACACACAAGUAAUAUUCCCUGCAGACACUCCAAGGAAGGCACUGGAAUUUCCUAGCCCUGCAGCAAAUAGCUUACUUCAACACGUUUGUCUUAUCUAACUAUUCUUUAUCUAGUUGUUCUCACAGUCUGGCCAUCAGGCCUUACCUCCCCAGUUUGUAUAUGUGCAUCAUGAAGUCUGUAGAAAGGGCUGAUAUUAAGCUACAGUUCAGGUGCUAAGAUCAUAUGCACAGGAUUCUUUGAGUGAUGCUGUUAUCAAGCAGCACUUGAUCUUCUCUGUAUACUUGGAAAUAUUACAGAACUUCCAAUCCUCCCUUCUAAUACAUUUUACCUGUUCCAGGUUUUGGGAAUCUUGAAUUAAUUUGACCCUUUGUGUUCUAAUCUCUUUUUCAGCUGGAGCUCCAUUCUUAUUCUUUCUACGCUUUAGUUUAAUUUAUUUUAUGUUGGGUGUGUUGGUUUUUUUAGAACUAUACAUUGAAUUAUAGGAAUGCCAAAGGUAAAGGAAGUUAACACUUGAGAUAAUAUAGCUGCAUAAAAUUAUAAAGAGAAAUUGUUUUCCACUUAAAUCAGAGGGAUUUUAUACUUCAGGCUUCAUUUAUCUGAUUUUUUUUUUAAAGAUGUCAAUUGUUGAUAUCUUUUUCUCUAAUAGCCAUUCAGAUGUAGACAUAUGUACAAUGAAGUAUAAAUGAUAGUGGAGAAGAUUUAAAACAUAUAUAUUCAGUUAUAUAGUCAAACAUAAUAGGGGCUGUUAAGAGCUUAUAUUAAGUAUUUCGCUGGCCCAGGUAGACUAUUUUCAUGUGGCGAUAGUACUGAUUAUUAUUGAAAAUUAGGACAGAGUUAAGGUUGUUGGCUAUGAAGUCAUGAUAAAGAUUAAAACUGUACAGAAGUAUUUUUGAAACUAAAAGUCAUUUGUUUGAUCAGAAUGUGUUAUUUCUUUUUUACCGAUAGGAAAACCUUCUCACUUCUGCUUGAGAGAUACAUCAGAAGAGGAACAAUCUGUUGGGGUCUGCUGAAAAGAAAAAGGAGCUGACUGUAUUGUGGGGUUCAAAUAGCUGUAAUCUGCAGGCAGAUUUUAUUGAUUGUUUCCCUCCCUUUCUUCCCUAGAAGCUCAGCUUUUCUAGAAGAGAGUAAAGGAUGAGGAGUUAUGCUGACAUUUGGAAAAGGGCUAGGAAGUUGACCUGUGUUCAACAUAUCUGCCAUAAAUGAAUGCUCACCAUGAAGUAGUGCACCCACUGCAAGCAAUGCAGUGAAGUGUUCCAGGGCCAAGAGAGUUCCGUCAUGAAUUUACGGAAAGGAAUUACUUCAUCCAAAAAGUGAAUAGCUGCCUAUCUGCUGUCCAAAAGCUCAGCUAGAUCUGGUGCAAUACCGUAGACUUUAACUUGGGGCUGCAUGAAUAUUGUGUCAUUUGGGUGCUCACUGCAACUUGGAAGAGAAGAGGAUAUCCAGCACCAUGAGGACAGAAAGUUUCCUAAGGCCAAGAAAACCUUAUUGAAAUGAAAGAUUUCAGCAAAAUAUUCCAGAUUUGACAACUUGGUAACGUCCCUUUCAAAUGAACAUGGAAGAACAUGCAGAUGAAGUCAAAUCUCCGUUGACUGGUUUGUGACCAAUGGGACAGACUUUCCAGGAAUCCUUUCACCUGCCAGCUGCAGGAACUAUUUCCCACGUGAUACUGAAAUUCAUACAGUAAGAUGAGUGCCUGUUCUUUGCUUGAAAGUCAGAACAUUGUAAUUGUUUUGAAGAUUAAUUUGUUCCAUUCCAAUCAUCAUUACUUUCCUAUCUAUUUCUUUGUUGAUUAUUUAGUGGAAUAUUUUCUUGAUACUCAGUCUGACCACUGCAGUUUGAUUAAUGUUUUUACAAAAAGUAGGAUAAAUAUAAGUAGAGAUUUCUUUAAAAGGAAUACGGUUGAGUAGAGUGGAGAGAGAAAGAUUUUAUAUAGUGCAAGAAAUUGAUAACAAAAUUGACUACAGGAAAUACUGAUCUCUCUACGUUGUGGGUCAGUUCUUAAAACAUUUGGUGCAAUUUAUUGCAAUUUAUAGCAAUUGCUGUUCUCAUGCUAAGCAUCAUUGGCAUAGGUGAUUAUCUGAUGGAACUUCAGAGUUUCUGGAUUUCCAAAGUCUUGACGCUAGUAUUUUUUUUCAUAAUUAUUGUUUCAAAGAAACAGCUUCAAGGAGCAGGGUCUCUCUGUCUCUAUCUAAAAGAUGGCCUGGGUAUGCUUUCCUUUGUGUCCUGUAUUCCCACUAGAUUCGUUGAUCUUUCCUUGGUUGACCACAGAGAUCUUCUAGUUCCAACAUGUGAGUUUCUAUACAGACCUACAGAGGGAUGGGGAACAUCCCCACCCUAUCCUGCCAUACAUGGUCAGGAUAAAGAACUGUAUUAACAGUUAGUAGGCAUGUUGAGUUACAGCAGUUGAAGACAUACUUUAGCCAUAUAUGUAGAAAGUUUAAAGCAUCACACAUUCUCUUCUCACUAUAGCUUUGCUAUAAUGUUAACAAAUGCAUCAUUUAAUUGAUAAUAGCUGG